rnacentral:rRNA from 1 species
UACGGAGGGUGCGAGCGUUAAUCGGAAUUACUGGGCGUAAAGCGCGCGUAGGUGGCUAGAUAAGUCGGAUGUGAAAGCCCCGGGCUUAACCUGGGAACUGCAUUCGAUACUGUCUGACUAGAGUAUGGUAGAGGAAAGCGGAAUUCCCGGUGUAGCGGUGAAAUGCGUAGAUAUCGGGAGGAACAUCAGUGGCGAAGGCGGCUUUCUGGACCAAUACUGACGCUGAGGCGCGAAAGCGUGGGUAGCAAACAGG